ACGAAAUUCCAUAUUGCAUUUAGUCAUCAGGCCUGCGUAAUUAACUUUGGUUUCUGACAAUUUAUUGAUCUUUUCUUGUUUUUAUGACCUUGACCUGAAGACCUCAGUUAUUUUGUGAAAGGCACUCACAUGCCGCAAAGAUAGAGUGUGGUGAUUGACAAGGCCUUGGACACAAGACAAGCCCUGGAGCUACAAUGAUUCGGGUCUUAACCCUCCUCCCAGCAUCACAAGGACUGAGAAAGAAUGACCAGAGCCUCUUGCCAGUCUCACAGCUCAGAAAUGUGUCCCCGAGGACCAAGAGCCAUCUCUAUGAAAUGUACUUCUCAAGGAAGAUGGUGCCCUGCCUCGCAGUUUCCUAGGAGAAGACAAACUUAACUUCAACUAUCAUCUGAGUUCACGUUGCAAAACCUGCCGAAUGUCACCGGUGCAUCCGCUCAGCUGUAAGGGCGCAAGAUUUCCCUGCUGUCUGCCAUCUCUUUAGCAGAUGGCCAGAGAUGCAUGUCGCAUUCUGGUUUAAUGCUUAUUCAAUAAAAAAAUUAUUUUCUUUC